rnacentral:rRNA from 1 species
AUGAACGCUGGCGGCGUGCCUAAUACAUGCAAGUCGAGCGAACAGACGAGGAGCUUGCUCCUCUGACGUUAGCGGCGGACGGGUGAGUAACACGUGGAUAACCUACCUAUAAGACUGGGAUAACUUCGGGAAACCGGAGCUAAUACCGGAUAAUAUAUUGAACCGCAUGGUUCAAUAGUGAAAGACGGUUUUGCUGUCACUUAUAGAUGGAUCCGCGCCGCAUUAGCUAGUUGGUAAGGUAACGGCUUACCAAGGCAACGAUGCGUAGCCGACCUGAGAGGGUGAUCGGCCACACUGGAACUGAGACACGGUCCAGACUCCUACGGGAGGCAGCAGUAGGGAAUCUUCCGCAAUGGGCAAAAGCUUGCCGGAGCAACGCCGCGUGAGUGAUGAAGGUCUUCGGAUCGUAAAACUCUGUUAUUAGGGAAGAACAAAUGUGUAAGUAACUAUGCACGUCUUGACGGUACCUAAUCAGAAAGCCACGGCUAACUACGUG